GCGGCAGGCUGAGACGCGGGUGGCUGGCGAUGGCCGCGGAGAGGGCCGCCUGGGGCCAGGCUUACGAAGGCAGACGGAAGGCGGUGGCCGAAGAGCCGCGCUCUUGCGGUGCGCAUGCUGUGUGUCUCGCGCCCGCCUGUCCCGCCGCCAUCACCACCCUGCAAGCAGGUCUGAACUUGGACUGGCUGCAUUCCAAGGGCUCAGCAGUCAGAGUUUCUGUGGCUACUGGACUGGGCUGUGUAGUGCUGGACGGAGAGGUAGAAAAGAAAUCGAGCAGAUUCUACCCCAAAUGCUGAAAAAAUGAAUCCCAUCCAGGAUACCACAUUUCAUUCGUUGUUUCCCUUCUCUCUCUCUCUCUCUUUACCUCUCUCCCUCUCUCUAAAGAGAGACAAUUGACAUAUACCAUUGUAUUAGUUUUACAACAUAAUGAUUUGAUAUAUGUAUAUGUUGCAAAAUGAUCACCACAGUAAGUUUGGUUAAUAAUUAACAUCCAUCACGGCACAUAGUUGCAUUUUUUUUCCUUGUGAUGAGAACUUUUAAGAUCUAUUCUCUUAGUUGUCCUGUCUCUUUAAGCUCCUCUUGGCUGGGCAGGUUCUCAGACUUUCCUUGUUUUUGAUGAUCUUGAUGGUUUUGAGAAUGACUGGACAGAUGUUUGGUAGCAUGUCCCUCUGUUGAAAUUUGUCUGGUAUUUUUCUCAUGAUAGUACCAGGAUGAUGGGUUUGAGGGAGGAGGACCGAAGAGGGAAAGUACCAUUCUCAUCACGCAUAUCAAGUGUACGUACUAUCAGCUUUAUCUGUGCCUGUUGAUAUUGGCCUUCGUCACUUGAGUUAUUAUUUGUCAGGUUUCUCUACUAUAAUUUACUUUCCUCCCGCUUACCUUUGGAAGGAAGUCACUAUGUGCAGCCCACAUCUAGAGUGGAGACAUGUGUUCCCCUCCAUAUGGGUGGAUAGCUACGUAAACUAUUUGGAAUUCUUCUGCAUGAAAGACUUGAGUCUUCUUCCCCCCAUUUAUUAGUUUAUCUAAUCAUUUGAUUAUAUCAAUAUGGCCUCCUGGAUAUUUAUACUCUGGGUUAUAACUCAGUACUGCUUUAUUUAUUUUGUGCUUAAAUUGCUCCAUCUUUGGCCACUGGGAGCCCUUUCAGUUGGUUCCUUUGGCCAUUGACACGUUGUAUUACACAACAUGUAUGACAGAUGUUUUGGUUUGGGUUUUUUGUUUAUUUGUUUCCUUUGGAGCACUUCCUUAUUUUCUGUUACUACAAGAUGCUCCAGGCUCAAUUUGUAUAUUUCCUGCCCUAGUCCUAGCAUCAGCCAUUUCUCCAAGCCUGGUUCUUUUUAGUAGAGAACAGUGUUAGAAACCAAGAUCUGGGCACUCAGAGUGCUCGUUGCUACUGGGGUGUUGCUUCUUUUAGGUUAUCAAUACUUUGUAACCGCCCAUAAUGCAGCUGGUAUAGAUGCUCAGCCCUGGGGAUACACCAGUGACCAGAUGUGGCAAGUGCCCUCGUGGAACUCACAGUCAUCUUGGGAGAACAGGCUUAAGAGGGCAGCUCCAACACUGAAUAGCUGUGCAACCUUGGGCAGGUUGUUUAAUCUCUCUGAACUUCAGCCUCCCCUUCCAUGAAAUAGGGGUGAGCAUAAUACUUUAUGAGGGCACUGUGAAAACUAAAUGAAAUCACCCACUUUUUUUUUUCUUUUCCAUUAUGGUUUAUUACAGGAUAUUGACUAUAGUUCCCUGUGCUAUAUAGU